UCUUUUAAAUGAAGACCUGUAUGAAUGGCAUCACGAGGGCUUAGCUGUCUCCCAUCUCCAGUCAAUGAAAUUGACCUCCCCGUGCAGAGGCGGGGAUAAUUACAUAAGACGAGAAGACCCUAUGGAGCUUUAGACCUAAGGUAAGUCACGUUUAACAUGCUGUGAUAACAAAAAAAACUUAGUGAUAUUUACUGAAGUGUCUUUGGUUGGGGCGACCGCGGGGUAAAACACAACCCCCAUGUGGACCGGGGAUAUAAUCCCUAAUACUCAGAGCCUCUACUCCAAGUAACAGAAAUUCUGACUUUUCUGAUCCGGUAUAACCGAUCAACGAACCGAGUUACCCUAGGGAUAACAGCGCAAUCCCCUCUCAGAGCCCAUAUCGACGAGGGGGUUUACGACCUC
rnacentral:rRNA from 1 species